rnacentral:misc_RNA from 1 species
CGGCGCUCAUGUCCUGGAGUUCUUGAGGUAUCUUGACCAGUUUGGCAAGACAAAGGUGCAUAACCAGACUUGUCCAUUUUUUGGUCACCAGCACCCACCAGCUCCUUGCCCUUGUCCACUUAAGCAGGCGUGGGGAAGCCUCGACGCGCUGAUCGGACGCCUCCGAGCAGCCUUCGAGGAAAACGGCGGCCUGCCUGAGACCAACCCUUUUGGUGCACGCGCUGUCAGACUAUACCUUAGGGAAGUGAGAGAUGAACAAGCUAAGGCGAGAGGGAUAGCUUACGAGAAGAAGAAGAGAAAGAAGCCACAACAACACAAGCAGCAGCAACAGUUACAAUCUUCAAAUGGUCACAAUAAUCAAAUUCAACAUGGUGGUGGUGGUGGUGGCCGCGGCGGUGUUAGUGGUGGAUUUGCUGAAAGAAACAUGCUAAGUAGGGCGAUGGUUAAUAUGGGGGAUUUGUCGGUAUUUAAUUAAGGGGAUGUUGAUGUGUUUGGUGUUAUGCUAGGGUUUAUGUUUUGUAGUCUUUGAUUGUAUUUCUGCUUCUUUCUAAUUGCUUUUGUUUAUAUGAGUAAUUAAAGAGAAAAUCUUUUUCUUCCUUUUUAAAAAAAAAAAA